GCCUAAUUCAUGAGGGAUGGUGCCAGAUAAAUUAUUGGUGUAGAGGUGCAAGGUGUCAAGCAUGGUGAGGUUUCCUAAAAUGGAAGGGAUGGAGCCUGAUAGUUGAUUUUUACUGAUAUCUAGAGUACGUAACUUCACUAGGUUGCCUAAUUCAUGAGGGAUUAUGCCAGAUAAAUUAUUGAUGUAGAGGUACAAGGCGUCAAGCAUGGUGAGGUUUCCUAAAGUGGAAGGGAUAGAGCCAGAUAGUUGAUUUUCAUAGAUAGUUAGAGAAUGUAAGUUCACUAGUUUGCCUAAUUCAAGAGGGAUUGUGCCAGAUAAAUUAUUGGUGUCGAGGAACAAGGUGUCGAGCAUGGUGAGGUUUCCUAAAGUGUUAGGGAUGGAUCCCGAUAAUUGAGUUUCCCAGAUUUCUAGAUCACGUAAGUUCACUAAAUUGCCUAAUUCAUGAGGAAUGGUGCCCAAUAUAUUAUUUGAGCCAAGGUACAAGUUCUUGAGUUUGAUGAGAUUGCCUAAACUGGAAGGGAUGGAACCUGUUAAAU
rnacentral:lncRNA from 1 species